UACGUAGGGUCCGAGCGUUGUUCGGAUUCACUGGGCGUAAAGGGUGCGUAGGUGGUGAGGUAAGUCGGAUGUGAAAGCUCGGAGCUCAACUCCGAAAUGGCAUUGGAAACUACCUUGCUCGAGGGUUGGAGGGGGGACUGGAAUACUUGGUGUAGCAGUGAAAUGCGUAGAUAUCAAGUGGAACACCAGUGGCGAAGGCGAGUCCCUGGACAACUCCUGACACUGAGGCACGAAAGCUAGGGGAGCAAACAGG
rnacentral:rRNA from 1 species